rnacentral:rRNA from 1 species
AGGUUAAGCUACAAAGAGCACACGGAGGAUGCCUAGGCGCCAGGAGCCGACGAAGGACGUGGCGAACAACGAUAAAGCCUCGGGGAGCUGUAAGCAAGCUUUGAUCCGGGGAUGUCCGAAUGGGGAAACCCGGCUGUCUUCAUCGACAGUCGCUACUCACUGAAUUCAUAGGUGAGUGAGAGGCAGACCAGGGGAACUGAAACAUCUAAGUACCCUGAGGAAGAGAAAACAAUAGUGAUUCCGUCAGUAGCGGCGAGCGAACGCGGAUUAGCCCAAACCAAGGAGCUUGCUCCUUGGGGUUGUGGGACGUCUCACAUGGAGUUACAAAGGAACCGGUUAGAUGAAGAGGUCUGGAAAGGCCCGCCAGAGAAGGUAAAAGCCCUGUAGUUCAAAACCUGUUCCCUCCGAGACGGAUCCCGAGUAGUGCGGGGCACGUGAAACCCCGUAUGAAUCCGGCAGGACCAUCUGCCAAGGCUAAAUACUCCCUGG